rnacentral:lncRNA from 1 species
AUGUUGAGUGAUGGUCUCAUUGGACAGUUUUGGCGGUUCCACCGAGAUUGAAGACCCUCAUUUGGCAGCAUUCCAGGGAAGCCUGAGGCCAACAGGUGACUGAGAAUCUUCCAGAAGUAAUGAUGCAUGGAGAUUGGUGUGUUUGGAGCCAAAUCUAUCCAAAGAUGCAUUUUUGGAUGAAAAGUAGAGAUGAGGAAAGAAAGUGCAGAGAAAUGACAAGACUUCCUCAAAUCGACGUAACAUGCUAUCAGUCUAGGUCUGAAUCCUGUGCCCCAUCAGUAUCCAAGAAGAUGCUUUGGGAUUUUAAUUGGAUAUUAAUUAAUAAUUUGGAUUGGAAGUGUUCUCUUAUCAAGACAGAGAAGGCAAGACUGAAAGCCUCCUCUGAAGUUAGGAACACAGACAGUCUCAGGCGAGUUGUCUCCAGCAUGAUAAACACAAGCUUCAGUCUGAAUGAGGCCAUCAUAAGGACCUACACCAUGCAGGCAGAAAAAUGUGGGUGUCACUUGGAUGCUGCACUGAGAUAG